GACAUCUAUAGUCGAAACACAUUCGCUUUUGUACCUUUGAAUUUCCAAUGACGUCAUUUUUACUUCUGCGUUGUCAUUGAUUGACCAAAAAUAAUUAGUAUGUCUGGUUUUGUAAAUACACCAAUGGGAGUCGAGGGCAACAAAAACGCGCGAAAAAAUACGCCUUUGGAAAAAGGGCUUAAUAUCGCAUACCUUUUCUACAAAUCGGAAAACGCCUGUAAGCAGUGCUUCACUGUUUUAUAUUUAUAUAAAUUAGCUUAACAUAAUUUAUGAUAGCGGAUAGCAAGAUUUUGGAUAUUUAUAAUUUUUCACGACGCGAGUGGAAACUGUAAUGUGAGGUUAUGAAGUUAUGUACCCAAAUAAAUAAUGCGAAUGAAGACGA